UGGGGAAUAUUGGACAAUGGGCGAAAGCCUGAUCCAGCCAUGCCGCGUGUGUGAAGAAGGUCUUCGGAUUGUAAAGCACUUUAGGUGGGGAGGAGGGGCGUUAGCCGAUUACCUUGCGGUUUUAACUUUACGGAAAAAUAAGGCACGGGUUACUUUGGGCCAGCCGCCGCGGUAAUACAGAGGGUGCAAGCGUUAAUCGGAAUUACUGGGCGUAAAGCGCGCGUAGGUGGUUCGUUAAGUUGAAUGUGAAAGCCCCGGGCUCAACCUGGGAACUGCAUCCAAAACUGGCGAGCUAGAGUAGGGCAGAGGGUGGUGGAAUUUCCUGUGUAGCGGUGAAAUGCGUAGAUAUAGGAAGGAACACCAGUGGCGAAGGCGACCACCUGGGCUCAUACUGACACUGAGGUGCGAAAGCGUGGGGAGCAAACAGG
rnacentral:rRNA from 1 species